rnacentral:misc_RNA from 1 species
GAAAUGCGAUAAGUAAUGUGAAUUGCAGAAUUCAGUGAAUCAUCGAAUCUUUGAACGCACAUUGCGCCCGCCAGUAUUCUGGCGGGCAUGCCUGUUCGAGCGUCAUUUCAACCAUCAAGCCCCCGGCUUGUGUUGGGGACCUGCGGCUGCCCGCAGGCCCUGAAAAACAGUGGCGGGCUCGCUGUCACACCGAGCGUAGUAGCAUACGUUCUCGCUCAGGGCGUGCUGCGGGUUCCGGCCGUUAAACGACCUUCAUAACCCAAGGUUGACCUCGGAUCAGGUAGGAAGACCCGCUGAACUUAAGC